GAUGAACGCUGGCGGCGUGCCUAAUACAUGCAAGUCGAGCGAACGGACGAGAAGCUUGCUUCUCUGAUGUUAGCGGCGGACGGGUGAGUAACACGUGGAUAACCUACCUAUAAGACUGGGAUAACUUCGGGAAACCGGAGCUAAUACCGGAUAAUAUUUUGAACCGCAUGGUUCAAAAGUGAAAGACGGUCUUGCUGUCACUUAUAGAUGGAUCCGCGCUGCAUUAGCUAGUUGGUAAGGUAACGGCUUACCAAGGCAACGGUGCAUAGCCGACCUGAGAGGGUGAUCGGCCACACUGGAACUGAGACACGGUCCAGACUCCUACGGGAGGCAGCAGUAGGGAAUCUUCCGCAAUGGGCGAAAGCCUGACGGAGCAACGCCGCGUGAGUGAUGAAGGUCUUCGGAUCGUAAAACUCUGUUAUUAGGGAAGAACAUAUGUGUAAGUAACUGUGCACAUCUUGACGGUACCUAAUCAGAAAGCCACGGCUAACUACGUG
rnacentral:rRNA from 1 species